AGGACGAACGCUGGCGGCGUGCCUAACACAUGCAAGUGGAGCGACGAACCGGGCUUCGGCCCGGGGCAAAGCCGCGAACGGGUGAGUAACACGUGGGUAACCUGCCCUGAUGAUCGGGACAACCCGAGGAAACUCGGGCUAAUACCGAAUGUGCCCUACGGCCGUAAGGCUGCUGGGGAAAGGAAGCUUCGGCCUCCGCAUCGGGAUGGGCCCGCGGCCCAUUAGCUUGUUGGUGAGGUAACGGCUCACCAAGGCGACGAUGGGUAGCUGGUCUGAGAGGACGAUCAGCCACACUGGGACUGAGACACGGCCCAGACUCCUACGGGAGGCAGCAGUGGGGAAUCUUGCGCAAUGCACGAAAGCGUGACGCAGCAACGCCGCGUGGGGGAAGACGGCCCUCGGGUUGUAAACCCCUUUCAGUUGGGACGAAGCUCCGUCGGUGAAUAGCCGGCUGGAGUGACGGUACCUUCAGAAGAAGCCCGGCUAACUACGCGCCAGCAGCCGCGGU
rnacentral:rRNA from 1 species